rnacentral:rRNA from 1 species
UGCAUAUCAAUAAGCCGAGGAAAAGAAACCAACAGGGAUUGCCUUAGUAACGGCGAGUGAGCGGCAACUGCUCAAAUUUGAAAUCUGGCCCUUUCAGGGUCCGAGUUGUACUUUGCAGAGAGUGCUUUGGCGUGGGCGGCGGUCUAAGUUCCCUGGAACAGGACAUCGCAGAGGGUGAGAAUCCCGUAUGUGGUCGCCUGCCCUCGCCGUGUAAAGCCUCUUCGACGAGUCGAGUUGUUUGGGAAUGCAGCUCUAAACGGGAGGUAAAUUUCUUCUAAAGCUACAUACUGGCCAGAGACCGAUAGCGCACAAGUAGAGUGAUCGAAAGAUGAAAAGCACUUUGGAAAGAGAGUCAAACAGCACGUGAAAUUGUUAAAAGGGAAGCGCUUGCAGCCAGACUCGCCCGCCGUUGCUCACCCGGGCUCUUGCCCGGGGCACUCUUCGGCGGGCGGGCCAGCAUCAGUUUGGGCGGUCGGACAAAGGCCUCUGACACGUACUUCCCUUCGGGGUUGACAUAUAGGGGAGGCGAAAUGCGACCAGCCCGGACUGAGGUCCGCGCAUCUGCUAGGAUGCUGGCGUAAUGGCUGUAAGCGGCCCGUCUUGAAACACGGACC